GUGGGGAAUCUUAGACAAUGGGCGCAAGCCUGAUCUAGCGAUGCCGCGUGAGUGAUGAAGGUCUUAGGAUCGUAAAGCUCUUUCGCCAGGGAUGAUAAUGACAGUACCUGGUAAAGAAACCCCGGCUAACUCCGUGCCAGCAGCCGCGGUAAUACGGAGGGGGUUAGCGUUGUUCGGAAUUACUGGGCGUAAAGCGCACGUAGGCGGAUCAGUAAGUUAGAGGUGAAAUCCCAGGGCUCAACCCUGGAACUGCCUUUAAUACUGCUAGUCUUGAGUUCGAGAGAGGUGAGUGGAAUUCCUAGUGUAGAGGUGAAAUUCGUAGAUAUUAGGAGGAACACCAGUGGCGAAGGCGGCUCACUGGCUCGAUACUGACGCUGAGGUGCGAAAGCGUGGGGAGCAAACAGG
rnacentral:rRNA from 1 species